rnacentral:rRNA from 1 species
GGCAGGCCUAACACAUGCAAGUCGAGCGGAUGACGGGAGCUUGCUCCUUGAUUCAGCGGCGGACGGGUGAGUAAUGCCUAGGAAUCUGCCUGGUAGUGGGGGACAACGUUUCGAAAGGAACGCUAAUACCGCAUACGUCCUACGGGAGAAAGCAGGGGACCUUCGGGCCUUGCGCUAUCAGAUGAGCCUAGGUCGGAUUAGCUAGUUGGUGGGGUAAUGGCUCACCAAGGCGACGAUCCGUAACUGGUCUGAGAGGAUGAUCAGUCACACUGGAACUGAGACACGGUCCAGACUCCUACGGGAGGCAGCAGUGGGGAAUAUUGGACAAUGGGCGAAAGCCUGAUCCAGCCAUGCCGCGUGUGUGAAGAAGGUCUUCGGAUUGUAAAGCACUUUAAGUUGGGAGGAAGGGCAGUGAGCUAACACCU